rnacentral:sRNA from 1 species
GCUGGGUAUGGUGGUGCACACCUGUAAUCCCAGUGGCUUGGGAGACUGAGGCAGGAGGAUCAUGUGAUCAGAGCCAGCCUCAG